rnacentral:rRNA from 1 species
CCUACGGGUGGCUGCAGUGGGGAAUAUUGGACAAUGGGGGGAACCCUGAUCCAGCCAUGCCGCGUGUGUGAAGAAGGCCCUCGGGUUGUAAAGCACUUUCAGUGAGGAAGAACGCCUGGUGGUUAAUACCCAUCAGGAAAGACAUCACUCACAGAAGAAGCACCGGCUAACUCCGUGCCAGCAGCCGCGGUAAUACGGAGGGUGCGAGCGUUAAUCGGAAUUACUGGGCGUAAAGCGCGCGUAGGUGGCUUGAUAAGACGGUUGUGAAAGCCCCGGGCUCAACCUGGGAACGGCAUCCGGAACUGUCAAGCUAGAGUGCAGGAGAGGAAGGUAGAAUUCCCGGUGUAGCGGUGAAAUGCGUAGAGAUCGGGAGGAAUACCAGUGGCGAAGGCGGCCUUCUGGACUGACACUGACACUGAGGUGCGAAAGCGUGGGUAGCAAACAGGAUUAGAUACUCGAGUAGUC